UACGUAGGGGGCAAGCGUUGUCCGGAAUCAUUGGGCGUAAAGAGCGUGUAGGCGGUUCAGUAAGUCUGCUGUGAAAGUCCAGGGCUCAACCCUGGGAUGCCGGUGGAUACUGCUGGGCUAGAGUACGGAAGAGGCGAGUGGAAUUCCCGGUGUAGCGGUGAAAUGCGCAGAUAUCGGGAGGAACACCUAUUGCGAAGGCAGCUCGCUGGGACGUUACUGACGCUGAGACGCGAAAGCUAGGGGAGCGAACAGG
rnacentral:rRNA from 1 species